GAAUUUUGGACAAUGGGCGCAAGCCUGAUCCAGCCAUGCCGCGUGAGUGAAGAAGGCCUCCGGGUUGUAAAGCUCUUUCGGACGGAAAGAAAUCGCGCAGGCUAAUACCGUGCGAGGACGACGGUACCUGCAUAAGAAGCACCGGCUAACUACUGGCCAGCAGACGCGGUAAUACGUAGGGAGCGAGCGGUAGUCGGAAUUACUGGGCGGAAAGCGUACGCAGGCGGUUGAUUAAGACAGGCGUGAAAUCCCCGGGCUUAACCUGGGAACUGCGCUUGUGACUGGUCUGCUAGAGUACGGCAGAGGGGGGUGGAAUUCCACGUGUAGAAGUGAAAUGCGUAGAGAUGUGGAGGAACACCGAUAGCGAAGGCAGCCCCCUGGGCCGAUACUGACGCUCAUGCACGAAAGCGUGGGUAGCAAACAGG
rnacentral:rRNA from 1 species